GGUUGAGGGAGGGGAUGAAGACCCUUGGUGUUCUUGAUGCAAUAAGAAUGCACCCAGAUGCUUUUAGACCGCUGUUUUUGUCACAAGCCAUCCCCACUCACAGCUGAUGUACUAGAACAGCUCUUUGAAAUUCAACUUAGCAGUGGGCAGCAACAAAAGAAGGAAUGUGUGGUUGCAUUUUGG